GGCCAGAUAACGUUGAAACAUUGGUUCCUGUACGAUCAGCGAAGUUAAUGAACGUCGAGCCUGGUCAGUAACUAGAUGGAUGACCGCUUGGGAAUACCAGGUGCUGUAAG